rnacentral:rRNA from 1 species
CAGCAGCCGCGGUAAUACGAAGGGUGCAAGCGUUAAUCGGAAUUACUGGGCGUAAAGCGUGCGUAGGUGGUGGUUUAAGUCCGUUGUGAAAGCCCUGGGCUCAACCUGGGAAUUGCAGUGGAUACUGGGUCACUAGAGUGUGGUAGAGGAUAGUGGAAUUUCCGGUGUAGCAGUGAAAUGCGUAGAGAUCGGAAGGAACAUCUGUGGCGAAGGCGACUAUCUGGGCCAACACUGACACUGAGGCACGAAAGCGUGGGGAGCAAACAGGAUUAGAUACCCGAGUAGUCCCUGUCUCUUAUAC